UUAAUUAGCCAGUUGUCCUGUAUGUCUGUCUCCCUCAGCAGGAAGUGCUCUCUUGGGCCCUCCGAGCAGACUGACCUUUUUAUGUAGCGUUUAUUUUCCCAGUUAGCAAAGGAGACACAAGAGUCCAAUACACAGAGAUGGACGUGCUGGUCUUCAUCAUCAGCGCAGCCGCCCAGACACCAGGCAUGAUAUGCCAGGGCGAACAGGUCCUCCAGCCGGGAAGGGUGAGCUAUGGCCCGGGUCAGACGCUUGACCCACUCCUGGCAUUGCUUGAACGUUGCAAAGUGGCAUCUGCGGAGAAACAAAUGUGAAGAUUAGAAAGAUUAGUGGAAGCCAGCAACAAAAUAUCUUGUUACAACUUCAUGCAUUAGGGACUGGGAGAAAAACAAGAAAACCUAAUUUCUUCAGAUACUCAGUGAUUUUCCUGCCUUUAAAAGGGGGUAAUAAUGUGGCUGUUAAAUGAUGAGGAACCAAGAUGCCGGUGGCACAUCUGCUGCUGAGAAUCUGAAGGCUCCACUUUGAACUUUUACAGAUGUCCAUAAACGGAUGAGAAUUUCAGUCUGCUGUGAAAUAAAAAUCAGGCCUUGGUCCUUUUUUAAGCAUGAAGCUGUUUUUAAGCAAGUGCAAGCAUGCUUAGUGGUAAUUAAACCAUAGAAAAUGCAAUCUCCUAACAGCUCCAUUGUAAGAAAUGCUACACAGCAUCCUGUAAUCACUUUUAAACGUCCAAAUAAAAAUAAACAUGAAGUCUGUCUG